rnacentral:rRNA from 1 species
UACGUAGGGCGCAAGCGUUAUCCGGAAUUAUUGGGCGUAAAGAGCUCGUAGGCGGCUUGUCGCGUCGACUGUGAAAACCCGCGGCUCAACCGCGGGCCUGCAGCCGAUACGGGCAGGCUAGAGUUCGGUAGGGGAGACUGGAAUUCCGUGGUGUAGCGGUGAAAUGCGCAGAUAUCAGGAGGAACACCAAUGGCGAAGGCAGCACUCUGGGACGUGACUGACGGCUGAG